UUAAGUUCAGCGGGUAGUCCUACCUGAUUUGAGGUCAAGAUUGUCAAUACAAGCAAGGUUUUUUAGAAAGCAGUUGCAGCAGAUGUCUAGGGAUGUAGAUAAUUAUCACACCUGUAGACAGUUCCACCAAAGUACUGCUAAUUAAUUUCAGAGCAGUGGACUACAGAGAAGCCCACAAUCCCCAUAUCCAAGCCACACUA
rnacentral:misc_RNA from 1 species